UACGUAGGGGGCAAGCGUUGUCCGGAUUUAUUGGGCGUAAAGAGCUCGUAGGCGGUGUGUCGCGUCGGCCGUGAAAACCUGCAGCUUAACUGUGGGCGUGCGGUCGAUACGGGCAUCACUGGAGUUCGGCAGGGGAGACUGGAAUUCCUGGUGUAGCGGUGAAAUGCGCAGAUAUCAGGAGGAACACCGGUGGCGAAGGCGGGUCUCUGGGCCGAUACUGACGCUGAGGAGCGAAAGCGUGGGGAGCGAACAGG
rnacentral:rRNA from 1 species